rnacentral:rRNA from 1 species
AUUGAACGCUGGCGGCAGGCCUAACACAUGCAAGUCGAGCGGAUGAUGGGAGCUUGCUCCUUGAUUCAGCGGCGGACGGGUGAGUAGUGCCUAGGAAUCUGCCUGGUAGUGGGGGACAACGUUUCGAAAGGAACGCUAAUACCGCAUACGUCCUACGGGAGAAAGCAGGGGACCUUCGGGCCUUGCGCUAUCAGAUGAGCCUAGGUCGGAUUAGCUUGUUGGUAAGGUAAUGGCUCACCAAGGCGACGAUCCGUAACUGGUCUGAGAGGAUGAUCAGUCACACUGGAACUGAGACACGGUCCAGACUCCUACGGGAGGCAGCAGUGGGGAAUAUUGGACAAUGGGCGAAAGCCUGAUCCAGCCAUGCCGCGUGUGUGAAGAAGGUCUUCGGAUUGUAAAGCACUUUAAGUUGGGAGGAAGGGUUGUAGAUUAAUACUCUGCAAUUUUGACGUUACCGACAGAAUAAGCACCGGCUAACUCUGUGCCAGCCGCCGCGGUAACAC